GGCGCGCAGUGAGGACGCCCCCAGCCCGCCUCGGAGCUUGGGGCCGCGCUGGGAUCAAGCGGAGCGCACAGAGGCCUGUUAUCUGCCAGGGUUAGGAGCCACCGUGGCCAGGUCCCCUGGAGCGGGCCCUGGACCUGCGCGGUCGCUGCGGGACAGAAGAGCGGAGAUGCGGUUCACUGCCUGGCGCCUACAACCAGCGUGAACUAAGUGGCGAGUGGAAGAGAAUAAUUUGCCAAAAGAGGGAGGAUUUGCUGGUCUACUGGCGGAACUGGAACCCACUAUACCCACAUCCCCAUUCACAAGAGCCCACCUUGAAGGCGCAGAGACGCCAUGGUUGUCAUAGAAACACUCGUGCUGGGCCGCUGACAUGAGCCUGCGGCGUGGAGUGAAGUCUCUGAAUCUUGCCCAGCCCCAAGUGCUCCCUCCAGGAUCUUCCUCUGGACUCUCCAUCUCUCCCCUUUCCCUAAGAAGAUCACCCGGGUCCUGCCUCUCCAAGACUGCUCGUGGGAAUACACACUAUCACCCACACGAGACAGCCUGCUCAACGAGUACUUGCAUCGCCAGCAUCCACAGUCUGCAGAGGUCAGCAACAGUUUUUAUUUCUGAAAGGAGUCUCACAGAGCACCAGUUUAAAGAACCAUGUCUGGGUGAUAUCUUCUGGUGCUUCUAUGAGCAUUCAUGGAAUUGUUGCAUAUGUGAUGUGCAGGUCAUGAGAAUGUGUGAUGUUCUUGCAUCAUUUUAUGCUGCUUUGGACUUGAAGCAGCAUUUCUCAGAUACAGAAAUUAUGUUGGCAAGUUAAGUUGGAUGACAACUAUCUACACCCGUAUUUUCUUUUAUUAAUCAAAUACAAAUGUAGCUGAGGUAUAUGGCCUCAUUCGAUCCUCACAACCCCUUAUGAGACUGAAACAGUGGUAAAGUGAUUCCUCCUUCCACAUUGUGAAUUUCCUUCAUGGAAAAUUCUGAACAUACAGUACUUCAAAACGUAAAUCUUUUCCACAGUGUCACAGAUUUCAGACUAAUUAUAAAUACUAUAUAUAAAUGCUGUGUAAAU
rnacentral:lncRNA from 1 species